GCGGAUGGCUGGACGGCCGCGGGCGGGGCUGAUUCGUCAGCCCGGUUCGAGGAAAGUCCGGACUCCAUGAGACAAUGGUGCCGGGUAACGCCCGGCCGGGGCAACCCGAGGGAAAGCGCCACAGAGAACAGACCGCCCGGACCUUCGGGUUCCGGGUAAGGGUGAAACGGUGGGGUAAGAGCCCACCGCGGGACUGGCAACAGGACCGGCACGGCAAGCCCCACCAGGAGCAAUGCCGAAUAGGGGCCUCAGGCGGGAGAGAUCGGUGCGCCGGCAUCCCCGCGGGGACAUCUCAGCCCGGAGGCCCGGGUUGGCAGCUACAGCGCGUCGGUGACGGCGCGCGCAGAAGAAUGGUCGUCGAAGGGGGAAACCCCGGAACAAAAUCCGGCUUACAGGCCAUCCGCGCAG
rnacentral:RNase_P_RNA from 1 species